rnacentral:rRNA from 1 species
UACGUAGGGACCAAGCGUUGUUCGGAUUUACUGGGCGUAAAGGGCGCGUAGGCGGCGCGGUAAGUCACUUGUGAAAUCUCUGAGCUUAACUCAGAACGGCCAAGUGAUACUGCAGUGCUAGAGUGUGGAAGGGGCAAUCGGAAUUCUUGGUGUAGCGGUGAAAUGCGUAGAUAUCAAGAGGAACACCUGAGGUGAAGACGGGUUGCUGGGCCAACACUGACGCUGAUGCGCGAAGGCCAGGGGAGCAAACGGG